GACGAACGCUGGCGGCGUGCCUAAUACAUGCAAGUAGAACGCUGAAGGAGGAGCUUGCUUCUCUGGAUGAGUUGCGAACGGGUGAGUAACGCGUAGGUAACCUGCCUGGUAGCGGGGGAUAACUAUUGGAAACGAUAGCUAAUACCGCAUAAUAGUAGAUGUUGCAUGACAUUUGCUUAAAAGGUGCAAUUGCAUCACUACCAGAUGGACCUGCGUUGUAUUAGCUAGUUGGUGGGGUAAUGGCGCACCAAGGGGACGAUACAUAGCCGAACGGGGAGGGGGGUCCGCCCAACUGGGACUGGGACACCGGCCCGGACCCCUCGGGAGGGCGCCGGAGGGAAACUUUCGGCAAGGGCGGAAGGCCGAACGGGGCACGCCGGGGGGGUGAAGGAGGUUCUCGGAUCCGAAAGACCUGUUUUAAGGGAAGAAAGAGUUGGAGAGUGGAAUGUUCACACUGUGACGGUAUCUUACCAGAAAGGGACGGCUAACUACGUG
rnacentral:rRNA from 1 species